UACGAAGGGGGCUAGCGUUGCUCGGAAUCACUGGGCGUAAAGGGUGCGUAGGCGGGUCUUUAAGUCAGAGGUGAAAUCCUGGAGCUCAACUCCAGAACUGCCUUUGAUACUGAAGAUCUUGAGUUCGGGAGAGGCGAGUGGAACUGCGAGUGUAGAGGUGAAAUUCGUAGAUAUUCGCAAGAACACCAGUGGCGAAGGCGGCUCACUGGCCCGAUACUGACGCUGAGGCACGAAAGCGUGGGGAGCAAACAGG
rnacentral:rRNA from 1 species